AGAGUUUGAUCCUGGCUCAGGAUGAACGCUAGCUACAGGCUUAACACAUGCAAGUCGAGGGGAAACGACAUCGAAAGCUUGCUUUUGAUGGGCGUCGACCGGCGCACGGGUGAGUAACGCGUAUCCAACCUGCCCACCACUUGGGGAUAACCUUGCGAAAGUAAGACUAAUACCCAAUGACGUCUCUAGAAGACAUCUGAAAAGGGAUUAAAGAUUUUAUCGGUGAUGGAUGGGGAUGCGUCUGAUUAGCUUGUUGGCGGGGUAACGGCCCACCAAGGCUACGAUCAGUAGGGGUUCUGAGAGGAAGGUCCCCCANACUUGGAACUGAGACACGGUCCAAACUCCUACGGGAGGCA
rnacentral:rRNA from 1 species